CGAAAAGCAAUGAGUCUCCUCCAAUCCUCAGCCCUGGCCACCUCUCAGGGUAGUGAGAUCUUCAUUGGGAAAUCAACAGAGGUUUAAGCUCUUGAUGACCCUCUCAAGGUCCUGUCUCCAACCAGACCUGACCCUGAGUGUGCUGAAUCAAGCAAUUUAAGAGCGAUAUUGGACUAUUUGCUCUUAGCUCAUCCAUUACAUGAAGCGAGUUCCUACAACGAUGGGAACUUUGUGGUUGAGGGGAGCGAGGACAUCAGACUGCAUCCUGACAGGACAACAGGCCAUAUUAUGGUGUAUGGGAGCCAUGUUGCUCUCUGGCGCUCAGACACAGUUCCUCUUUUACUUUUUCCAACUCAUCAUCUCCCGAUGUCAUGGCAUGUACAGUUUUUCUCUUGAAACGGUUUUGUGGAACGGCUGGUUUAAUGGACCAUGGGGGUCUUUGACAGUUGGGGAUGCAGAACUUACAGCAUUCGGUUCUACUGUUGGAUUGUGAAUGUUUUACAAACAACAUCUUUGUCAGAGUACAGCUUAUGUGUUGGAUCUUUGUACCACGCAGUAUACUGUAUUUCACGUUUGUAACAUUGUGUGUGUGUUAUUAUUAGAGAUAAUUUCACCUGCCUGAUCAAAUGGCAACCUUAUGUAGGUAAAUUCAGCAAAAUCUUUGAAGAUUUAAUUUAUUGGUGUUCGAUUGCAUUUUUCUGUAAAGUUUGCUUGGAUUUUGUUGGAUCCUCUGCUCUGUACCCUUUUUUGAGAUAAAGGGAACAAAGAAGAUUAUUUAUUUAAAUUUAAAUAGUUCUUAAUAUAUACUUUUUAUGAAACCUCAAAUUUGGUGGUUUUCUCUGCUAUUUUUUGUAUUGUUUAGAAUCCAAGAUAAAUACAAUACGUCUUUAAAGGCUAAUACAAGAACUUUAAUGCAUCAACAAUUUUAUAAAUAGACAACAUUUAAAUACCUGGGUGGUUGGUAAUACCACUCAUUACCUCAAUAUAAAGUCAUAAAUGGUCAGCUUAUAUACAGCUAUAUUGUGUGCCAAUGCCUUCUAGCGACUGAGUUUGGUGACCACUAACAAAAAAACAUUUGGGUCAAAAACCACUUAUUUUAUGGGUCCAAAGAUGGUUCCAAACUGGAUCAUUUACCAGCAUUUCUCCUCAUCUUAAAACCAA
ensembl:lncRNA